AAAUAACCCUAUAUGCAUGUGAAUGUGAGAAAAGACUAUGACCAUAGUAAAUAACGGUGACAUUGACUAUAGUGACUCGAUUGGCAUUGAAAUGAGUAUAGUUAAAUAAGGUUUAACCCAAGUGACAUUAUGUGUAUUAUGGCAUCAGGACCAUUGUGGCUCAUAUUUGUGGUAUAUAUGAUAUGGUAGAACCUAUCAUUAGCAUUGAGAUAUUGAGGCAUGAGACAGGUUUGGCUAUACCUCCUCAAAUUGAGGAUGGGAUCAUACUCACACGUAUUGGUUCCGGCUUGUGGGAGGUCGCUCCUCCACAAGCGGUGUACUCCGGAGUGUAGACACCACGGGUGAGAGUGCCCGGCGAAGAUCCCUCGGGCGGUUGAGCCUU
rnacentral:lncRNA from 1 species